rnacentral:rRNA from 1 species
CGGGGGGAGCAAGCGUUGUUCGGAUUUACUGGGCGUAAAGGGCGCGUAGGCGGCCAGCACAAGUCAGUUGUGAAAUCUCCGGGCUUAAACUCGGAACGGUCAACUGAUACUGUGCGGCUAGAGUGCAGAAGGGGCAACUGGAAUUCUCGGUGUAGCGGUGAAAUGCGUAGAUAUCGAGAGGAACACCUGCGGCGAAGGCGGGUUGCUGGGCUGACACUGACGCUGAUGCGCGAAAGCCAGGGGAGCGAACGGGAUUAGAUACCCCGGUAGUCCUGGCCUUAAACGAUGGAUGCUUGGUGUCUGGAGUUUUAUAGUCUCCGGGUGCCGUAGCUAACGCGUUAAGCAUCCCGCCUGGGGAGUACGGUCGCAAGACUG